AGCUACCAAUGGCCGUCUUUCCACUUAUGCCUGCCUACGAUUAAAUCAGCACGGAGAAAAGCAGAGCUUAGAGAAAGAGAAACACAGAUCCCCAAAGAUAAGUCUAAGCUCCAGGAUCCAUCCCUGCCAUUUUGGUUAUGGAAUCCAGUAAUUCGUCAUAGCUUCAGCCAAAAGGAAUAGGGUCACUUGCAGCAUGGAAAUCCCACAUGCAGCCUGCAGCCCAAGCCUAAGCUUUUUCUUUGCCUUUCUGCAUUUACAUCCCAUCUUCUGUCAUAUCAGCCCGAGCACCGCUUUUACCCACAACACUGGAGCCCAGAGAUGAGGUGCUUCAGUCCUUCAGCCUCCAGGACACUCAAGGAUACAGAAAAGUACAGUCUAGCAGUGGCUGAAGGAGCCCUUUGGAGCAUGGAUUUGGGAGAAGCAUGGCAGGAUGAGGGGGACAAGAGACAUUCCUGCCACCCAAGAAGCAAUGAUUCUUGGCUACGGUUGGGGAAGGAGGAUCAAGGAAGUUCUAACUGUUGAGGGAAGGGGUACCGGACUCACCCCUGUGCUGGUCAGUGUCUGUGAUAAUGAAGAUAAUGAUGAUGGUGGUGGUGGUGACACUGGGUACAAGGUCCACACUGAUUCCCUUUAUAGAUCUUAUAAAACGAAAUGUGGUCAGAAGCAAAAAAACUAAAAAUCUAUGUACAGUCAAAGCAAUUACAGUGAUUUACAUGGAAUGCAUGCCAUUUAUGCCAAGUUACCAUGAGACAUAAUAAUGAUUAUGUACUUCAUCAAAUAUGUGUCAGAUUAACUUAAUUUCUUAGAUGUUAUUUGAUGGCAUCUAUAAACACAAUACUUUUGUGCUCUGGCUUCCCAGUUCUCCAUCAUCUGCCUUUAAAAAAAAAAAGUUAUAAUGCCAAAGCAUUUCUACUUGACAAAAUGAGAGACUACAGUUUGGUAAAUAGGUGGCCUAUGGUUUCCUGAUCAAUAGGGAGCUUGUCAUCAAUGUGUUUGGGGCAGGUAUGGCCCAUUGAAGAUCAAGUGAUGCAUAAUUUCCCCAUGUUUGUUUCAGGCAAAAUCACUUGAAAGGAAAUAUCAGAAAGAGCUUUUUAAAAGGUGAGAAGGAGUUCCUGUUGUAGCUCAGUGAGUUAAUAAUCUGAAAUAGUGUCCAUGAGGAUGUGGGUUCAAUUCCUGACCUUGCUCCGCUCUGUGAGUUAAGGAUCCAGAGUUACCACAGGCUAUGGUCAUAGAUGCAGCUAAGAUCUUGCAUUACUGUGGCUGUGGCGUAAGUCUACAGCUGCAGCUCUGAUUCAACCCUAGCCUGGGAACUUCCGUAUGCUGCAGGUGCAUCCCUGGAAAUGAUAAUAAUAAUAGUAAUUUUAAAAAGAAAAAAGGAGGGAGUUCCCAUCGUGGCACAGCAGAAACGAAUCCGACUAGGAACCAUGAGGUUUCGGGUUCGAUCCCUGGCCUUGCUCAAUGGGUUAAGGAUCCAGUGUUGCCAUGAGCUGUGGUCUAGGUCACACACGUGACUCGGAUCCCACAUGGCUGUGGCUGUGGCGUAAGCCAGCAGCUGUAGCUCCUGUUCGACCCCUAGUCUGGGAACUUCCAUGUGCCAUGGUGUGGCCCUAAAAAGAGAAAAGACCAAAAAAAAUUAAAUUAAAUUAAAUUAAAUUAAAAAGGUGAGAGGAUGAGUUCCCCCAGUGGCCUAACAGUUAAGGCUCUGGUGUUGUCACUGCCGUGGCGCAGGUUCAGUGCCUGGCCCGAGAACUUCUGCAUGCCUCAGGCAUGGCUACAAAACAAUAUUUUUAAAAGGUGAAAGGUUAAUGCAAAGAAGAGGCUGCAUGGUAGACAGGAAAGUGCAAAGGGGUAGAGUGAGGCAGAUCUGCCUUAGCUCAGCCUCUUGGAGCCUUAGUGUUCAGAUUUAUAAAAUGGGAGUCAUAAAUCCUACCUCAUGGAAUUGAUGUAAGAAUUCCAUGAAAAGAUGCAGGAUUGCCCAAUAAAAGCUAGCUGUUAUCAUCUUUAGAAAAAGGUACAAUUCAGCAUAGUAUGUGAAAUGGGGAAGACAGUUUAUUCUCUCUGCUUGAGCGGAGUUUCUAGGAAAACUGUGGUUCGCUGCAUGAAUAUGAGCCUCAAACUCCUACAUAUUAGUUUACACCAUGUGAAGUUAUUAUUAUUAUUAUUAUUAUUAUUAUUAUUAUUUUGUCUUUUUAGGGCCACACCCAAGGCAUACGGACCUUCCCAGGGUGGGUCUACACCACAGCAAUGCAGGAUCUGAGCCAGGUGCUCACUACAACACUGGAUCCUUAACCCGCUGAGCGAGACCAGGGAUCGAACCUAUGCCUCAUGGAUAUUAGCUGGGUUCAUUACCACUGAGCCAUGACAGGAACUCCCAUAUAAGUUAUUUUUAUAAUUUAUUUAUUAUUUAUUUAUUGUCUUUUUGUCUUUUUUUUAGGGCUGCACCUGCGGCAUAUGGGGGUUCCCAGGCUAGGGGUCGAAUCAGAGCUGUAGCUGCCAGCCUACACCACAGCCAUACCAGAUCCAAGCCACAUCUGCAGCCUACACCACAGCGCACGGCAACACUGGACCCUUGACCCACUGAGCAAAGCCAGGGAUCGAUCCCACAACCUCAUGAUUCCUAGUCAGAUUCGUUUCCACUGUACCACAAUGGGAACUCCUGAAGUUAUUUUUAUAGGUCAAAAAAUGAUCCAGGAUCAGCACUUUCACAUGGCUCAGUCUAAUAUGAAUAAUGGAAGGUCCUUCCUCCUGCCUCGCCAUCCUCAGUGCCUCCAAAUUGUGAGAGCCUUUCAGCCAGCUGACGAGGUGGACUAAGCUUUCUCGAAGAAUGCGAUGCAAAGCCAGCUCUCGAGAAAAAGCCAAGAGAGAUGGAGGGAGAGACAAGACAUGACUCGUCUGUUAGGCAAUGAAAUGCUCUUUAAGAUCAAAUGAAAGCCAAAAAUAAGGACUGAGAUUAAGAAAACCACAGCUCCAGGCAUAAGAUAUUUAUUGUGAUUCUUAUCUUUCUUGUGGUUGGUCUCCUGGAGGCUUUGGGGGACUCAGUAUAAGGAAGAGAAGUAAAAAAAAAAAAAAAAAAAAAAA
rnacentral:lncRNA from 1 species